rnacentral:rRNA from 1 species
GGCCGCGGGGAAUUGGAUUCAGGCCUAACACAUGCAACUCGAGCGGUAGAGAGAAGCUUGCUUCUCUUGAGAAAAAAGGACGGGUGAGUAAUGCCUAGGAAUCUGCCUGGUAGUGGGGGAUAACGUUCGGAAACGGACGCUAAUACCGCAUACGUCCUACGGGAGAAAGCAGGGGACCUUCGGGCCUUGCGCUAUCAGAUGAGCCUAGGUCGGAUUAGCUAGUUGGUGAGGUAAUGGCUCACCAAGGCGACGAUCCGUAACUGGUCUGAGAGGAUGAUCAGUCACACUGGAACUGAGACACGGUCCAGACUCCUACGGGAGGCAGCAGUGGGGAAUAUUGGACAAUGGGCGAAAG